UGUUUUUGCUUCUUCUUAGGCUGC
rnacentral:siRNA from 1 species